CGAAAGCUAAAGGAAGUGAUUAGGAUUAGAUACCCUAGUAAUUUUAGCCGUAAACGAUGGAAACUCACUGCCGAGCCGGUAUUCGGAGCGGUGGUCAAGCUAACGCGUGAAGUUUCCCGCCUGGGGAUUACGCAUGCAAAUGUGAAACUCAAAGGAAUUGACGGGGACCCGCACAAGCGGUGGAGUAUGUGGUUUAAUUCGAUGCAACGCGAAAAACCUUACCAAGGUUUGAAAUCAUUUCAAAACUCCUUGAAAGAGGAGCCUCCUUCGGGAUGGAAUGACAGGUGGUGCAUGGCUGUCGUCAGCUCGUGUUGUGAAAUGUCAAGUUAAGUCUUGUAACGAGCGCAACCCAUGUCUUUUGUUGCUGUUUUACAGUGCUUAAAAGAGACUGCCGCUAUACAGCGGAGGAAGGUGUGGAUGAUGUCAAGUCAGCAUGCCCCUUAUAUCUUGGGCUACACACGUACUACAAUGGUAGGGACAAAGAGUCGCAAACCUGCGAAGGCUAGCCAAUCUCAUAAACCCUAUCUCAGUUCGGAUUGUACUCUGCAACUCGAGUACAUGAAGGUGGAAUCGCUAGUAAUCGCUGGUCAGCAUACAGCGGUGAAUACGUUCCCGGGUCUUGUACACACUGCCCGUCACACCAUGGAAGUCGAUCCUUCCCUAAGUCGUUACUCGAACCUUUAUGGACGAGGAUGCCGAAGGCAGGGUUGGUGACUGGGGUGAAGUCGUAACAAGGUAACC
rnacentral:rRNA from 1 species